GCGAGCGGCGCAGGCGGUGCGCCGUGGCCGCGGAGCCAUGGACGGGAGUGGGCCCUUCAGCUGUCCCAUCUGCCUGGAGCUGCUCCGGGAGCCGGUGACACUGCCCUGCGGCCACAACUUCUGCCUCUUCUGCCUGGGCGCGCUCUGGCCGCACCGCGGAGCGGGCGGCGCCGGCGGCACCGGAGGCACGGAGCGCUGCCCGCUGUGCCAGGAACCCUUCCCCGACGGCCUCCAGCUCCGCAAGAACCACACGCUGUCCGAGCUGCUGCAGCUCCGCCAGGGCUCGGGCCCGGGGCCCGGCCCCGGCCCGGCCCCUACCCCGCCGGCCCCAGCCCCGGCCCCCGAGCCGGCAACACCCAGUGCGCCGCCCAGCGCCCCGGAGCCGUCGGCUCCCAGCGCGCCCGAGUCAUGGCCGCCCGGUGAGGAGCCGGUGCGCUGCGAUGCGUGCCCUGAAGGCGCCGCCCUGCCCGCCGCGCUCUCCUGCCUCUCCUGCCUCGCGUCCUUCUGCCCCGCGCACCUGGGCCCGCACGAGCGCAGCCCCGCGCUGCGCGGACACCGCCUGGUGCCGCCGCUGCGCCGGCUGGAGGAGAGCCUGUGCCCGCGCCACCUGCGGCCGCUCGAGCGCUACUGCCGCGCCGAGCGCGUGUGCCUGUGCGAGGCCUGCGCUGCCCAGGAGCACCGGGGCCACGAGCUCGUGCCACUGGAGCAGGAGCGCGCGCUCCAGGAGGCCGAGCAGCCCAAAGUCCUGAGCGCUGUGGAGGACCGCAUGGACGAGCUGGGUGCGGGCAUCGCUCAGUCCCGGCGCACAGUGGCCCUCAUCAAGAGCGCAGCCGUGGCAGAGCGGGAGAGGGUGAGCCGGCUGUUUGCCGAGGCUGCAGCCGUCCUGCAGGGGUUUCAGACGGACGUGCUGGGCUUCAUCGAUGAGGGGGAGGCGACCAUGCUGGGCCGCUCCCAAGGCGACCUGCGGCGGCAGGAGGAGCAGCGGAGCCGACUCAGCAGGGCCCGCCACAACCUCAGUCAGGUCCCCGAAGCCGACUCGGUCAGCUUCCUGCAGGAACUCCUGGCACUCAGGCUGGCCCUGGAGGAGGGGUGCGGCCCCGGGCCCGGACCCCCGAGGGAGCUCAGCUUCACCAAGUCCUCCCAGGCUGUGCGCGCGGUGCAGGUCGUCCUGGCCUCAGCCUGUUCCAGCCAGUGGGAGCAGCUGCGGGGGCUGGGCGGUGACGAAGACGGGCUGCAGAAGCCAGGCACAGAAGCAGACGCUGAGUCCCAGGACCCCGACAGCACCAACAACCUGGAGAGUGAGGCUCCUAGGGAUUACUUCCUCAAGUUUGCCUACAUAGUGGACUUGGACAGUGACACAGCCGACAAGUUCCUGCAGCUGUUUGGAACCAAGGGCGUGAAGAGGGUGCUGUGUCCUAUUAACUACCCCGAGUCGCCCACCCGCUUCACCCACUGCGAGCAGGUGCUGGGCGAGGGCGCCCUGGACCGGGGCACCUAUUACUGGGAGGUGGAGAUCAUUGAGGGCUGGGUCAGCGUGGGGGUCAUGGCCGAAGACUUCUCCCCACAAGAGCCCUACGACCGGGGCCGGCUGGGCCGCAACGCCUACUCGUGCUGCCUGCAGUGGAACGGACGCAGUUUCUCCAUCUGGUUCCACGGGCAGGAGGCACCCCUGCCGCACCCCUUUUCACCCACUGUGGGGAUCUGCCUGGAAUAUGCUGACCGAGCCCUGGCCUUCUACACCGUGCGGGACGGCAAGAUGAGCCUCCUACGGAGGCUGAGGGCCUCCCGGGCGCGCCGGAGUGGCACGCCGGCCUCCCCGGUUGACCCCUUCCAGAGCCGCCUGGACAGCCACUUUGCGGGGCUCUUCACGCGCAGACUCAAGCCCGCCUUCUUCCUGGAGAGUGUAGACGCCCAUCUGCAGAUAGGGCCCCUCAAGAAGUCCUGCAUAUCCGCGCUCAAGAGGAGGUGAUGCAGGGGCCCGGGGCCGCCUCCCGCUGCUGACCCAGCUCCUGGGAAGCUUGCUUCUCUGCACCCCUGGUUUGAACCAGAGAAGGCAACAGCCUCGGACCCCCACACAUUCCCCAGCCUUCUCAUUCCUAGAGGCCUCCACCUUCUGUACCCAAGGCCUUCCACCUCUCAGGGAGGAGGCCCCCCAGACCCUGUCCCCCUGCAGGCCUUGUUUCUGGGAGAAGGAACCGCAGCUGGGACAGUUCCAGGCUACCCUGACCCCUCCUCUCCCAGGUUCCUGGGACAGUGCCUGGCACAUACCUAGUUCUGGAACCUGCCGAAGGGUGUCUGCCCAAGAUUCAACGCAGACCUCACACUCCGCAAGAGCGGGGCAGGACUCCUGGGCGUGGG